rnacentral:lncRNA from 1 species
UGGUGCAAAGCUUCUAAAUUUCACCUCGAAUUUGUAGCUUUGGUGAGGGGGCACUGAGCUCUCAUAGUGGUUUCGGCAUAUAGCUACUGGCCCCUGCUAGUCUUGAGGGCCAUUCAAGCUAGGCAGUUGCUGCUGGGGCCAUUUUAACUGGUGUUGGCCCUUUUAAAGGCAGACAUAUUCCAACGCUGAUAUGCUGAGACGAGAAAGCAUCUACGCCACCUUUUCCUAAAACUAAAGGGAACAACG